CGCCGCCGGGCGCGCUGCGACGCUUUGGCGAUUUAGCUCCGUGACAUCAUUCCGUUCAUAAAGCUAGAUUACCAAAGCAUCGCGUCGCGCCGUCUCAACG
rnacentral:pre_miRNA from 1 species